rnacentral:rRNA from 1 species
ACACAUGCAAGUCGAACGGUAACAGGAAGAAGCUUGCUUCUUUGCUGACGAGUGGCGGACGGGUGAGUAAUGUCUGGGAAACUGCCUGAUGGAGGGGGAUAACUACUGGAAACGGUAGCUAAUACCGCAUAACGUCGCAAGACCAAAGAGGGGGACCUUCGGGCCUCUUGCCAUCGGAUGUGCCCAGAUGGGAUUAGCUUGUUGGUGGGGUAACGGCUCACCAAGGCGACGAUCCCUAGCUGGUCUGAGAGGAUGACCAGCCACACUGGAACUGAGACACGGUCCAGACUCCUACGGGAGGCAGCAGUGGGGAAUAUUGCACAAUGGGCGCAAGCCUGAUGCAGCCAUGCCGCGUGUAUGAAGAAGGCCUUCGGGUUGUAAAGUACUUUCAGCGGGGAGGAAGGGAGUAAAGUUAAUACCUUUGCUCAUUGACGUUACCCGCAGAAGAAGCACCGGCUAACUCCGUGCCAGCAGCCGCGGUAAUACGGAGGGUGCAAGCGUUAAUCGGAAUUACUGGGCGUAAAGCGCACGCAGGCGGUUUGUUAAGUCAGAUGUGAAAUCCCCGGGCUCAACCUGGGAACUGCAUCUGAUACUGGCAAGCUUGAGUCUCGUA